CGCGUGUACUGGUCCGGCCGGGCCUUUCCUUCUGGAGAGCCCCAUGCCCUUCACUGGGCGUGCGGGGGAACCAAGACUUUUACUUUGAAAAAAUUAGAGUGUUCAAAGCAGGCCUUUGCUCAAAUACUUUAGCAUGGAAUAAUAAAAUAAGACGUGCGGUCCUAUUUUGUUGGUUUCUAAGACCCCCGUAAUGAUUAAUAGGGAUAGUCGGGGGCAUCAGUAUUCAUUUGUCAGAGGUGAAAUUCUUGGAUUUAUUGAACACUAACUACUGCAAAAGCAUUUGCCAAGGAUGUUUUCAUUAAUCAGUGAACAAAAGUUAGGGGAUCAAACACUAUCAUAUACCGUCAUACUCUUAACCGUAAACUAUGCCGACGAGGGAUCGGGCGAUGUUUCUAUCUUGACUCUCUCGGCACCUUACGAAAAAUCAAAUUUUUUGUUUUCUGGGGGGAGUAUGGUCGCAAGGGUGAAACUUAAAGAAAUUGACGGAAGGGGCACCACCAGGCGUGGAGCCUGCGGCUUAAUUUGUCUCCACACGGGGAAACUCCCCAGGUCCAGAUGAAAUAAGGAUUGACAGAUUGAGAGCUCUUUCUUGAUUUUUCAGGUGGUGGUGCAUGGCCGUUCUUAGUUGGUGGAGUGAUUUGUCUGCUUAAUUGCGAUAACGAACGAGACCUUAACCUGCUAAAUAGCCAGGCUAGCUUUGGCUGGUCGCCGGCUUCUUAGAGGGACUAUCGG
rnacentral:rRNA from 1 species